GGAGGAUGGCCCUCCGAAGUCGACCUGCAGGGGUAGACGUCAAACCGCUCCGAGCUGCGAGGGUAAAGAGCCCUGGUAGUGAGCGUUGGAGGAAAAGGCGGAGGAAACUCCGUCAGGU
rnacentral:ncRNA from 1 species